CAGCCGCCGCGGUAAUACGGAGGGCGCGAGCGUUGUUCGGAAUUACUGGGCGUAAAGCGCGUGUAGGCGGCCAGGUAAGUCGGAUGUGAAAGCCCGGGGCCCAACCCCGGAACUGCACCCGAUACUGCCCGGCUGGAGUCCCGGAGAGGAUGGCGGAAUUUCCGGUGUAGAGGUGAAAUUCGUAGAUAUCGGAAGGAACACCAGUGGCGAAGGCGGCCAUCUGGACGGUGACUGACGCUGAGACGCGAAAGCGUGGGGAGCAAACAGGAUUAGAUACCCUGGUAGUCCACGCUGUAAACGUUGGGUGCUAGACGUCGGGGGUAUUGACCCCUCCGGUGUCGAAGCUAACGCAUUAAGCACCCCGCCUGGGGAGUACGGCCGCAAGGCUAAAACUCAAAGGAAUUGACGG
rnacentral:rRNA from 1 species